UCUGCUACUCUCAAAACUGAAUUAUUCCCAAAUUUUCACUAUGUUAGAGUAAAAAAAAAAAAAAUUCUCAACUUCUCAUGACAUUUUUUGGGAAACAGCUAAUUCCAAUGAUUUUUCAAUCCACUUUGUUCUUCAACAAAAGCACAUGGAAACCUGGCAAAAUGCUUCAAAUUUGUUGGCAGAAAAGGCAACUUGCACAAAUCUUUAACCAAUAAUUCACCUCUCUUUCACACAUGGGAGGCCAUGUGCCUGAACAGCUCACACUUCAAAGCAGCACUGCAGUAGGGACACCCUUCCCAGAUGUGUCGACCCUUUUCAGAUUCAAAAUGCCCUCUUUUCAAUGCUUCCAUGAGCUCUAGGGUAUGUCCCAGCCCCACAGGCUGGUAAUUGAAUGGCUAUUUAGCCGUUUGACAUGCAUGGCCAAUUAUUUAAGGAUUUGACAUUGUGUUAUGUUCAGUCCUUGUACAUGCCGAAGGAAUAUAAUAAAAAUGGAGAGGAUGGACCUCCAUGUUCCUCCUCUCUGCUGGGCUCAUUUCGAUGGUCCCAUAUUUGCCAAUGAUGGGCGCAUAGUUGAAGCCCGAAAUGCUCUUUUGUGCUGUAAUUUCAGGGAUCAGGAUAGGCUAGCCAGCAAGCGUGCAUGCACCAUCUUAGCCUGUUUGAUAUGAAGGAAUAUAACAAAGAUGGACCUUGAUGUUUUGAGUUUAAAUCCUGGGAUUAGCAUUUAGGGAAUAUAUCAAAACAAUGGGGAGAAUAUAUUCUUAAAAUCGCCUGGUUAAAAAAUUAAUUUAAAUCGAUACGGAGGCUGGUUUUAUUAUAUUUUUAUAGUGGAAGAAAACCCACUCAACAAUUUUUCCAAAACCAUCACCAUUGGUGUCGCGUGUGCACUCCACAUCACUGCAGAUGAAUUUAUAUCUUGAUUGGAUUAGCCUAAAGGUUCGGAAAGCCAUAU
rnacentral:lncRNA from 1 species